UACGUAUGGUGGUAGUCGAUUAUUUGGAGUCGCCUUUCAGCGUUUUUGCAAAUAUAAUAGUGACCACCUAACAUACAAUACAUAAACUACAGUUAGACUUCACAGACGAGCAAGUGCAGCGGAAGGUGUGUGUUAAGAGAGCUGGUUUUUAGAAACGGAGGCAAGUAUGCGCGUAUUUCUACUAUCGUCACAUGUGGUGCUACGGACAAUUUCAUAGAUGACAUUGAUCGUGCUGUGUAUGAUGGCGCAAAUACCUACUCUUCACGUCGAUACCCUACCCGGUCUAGAACAAUAUGCUGUACGUAGAUGCAUGCGCAACACCUACACGAGCAAGUCCUCGCGUUUUACGUCUACA